rnacentral:rRNA from 1 species
CGCCAGCCCGCUCAGAAACUCAAAGGAAUUGACGGGGCCCGCACAAGCGGUGGAGCAUGUGGUUAAUUCGAUGAUACGCGAGGAACCUUACCUGGGCUCAAAUGUAUGUUGACGUAUUCUGAAAGGGAUACUUCUUCGGACAAUAUACAAGGUGCUGCAUGGUUGUCGUCAGCUCGUGCCGUGAGGUGUCGGGUUAAGUCCCAUAACGAGCGCAACCCUAUCAUUAGUUGCCAUCAGGUCAAGCUGGGGACUCUAAUGAAACUGCCUACGCAAGUGGUGAGGAAGGUGGGGAUGACGUCAAAUCAGCACGGCCCUUACGUCCAGGGCUACACACGUGCUACAAUGGCCGGUACAAAGGGCAGCUACCUGGUGACAGGAUGCUAAUCUCAAAAGCCGGUCUCAGUUCGGAUCGGAGUCUGCAACCCGACUCCGUGAAGCUGGAAUCGCUAGUAAUCGCGCAUCAGCCAUGGCGCGGUGAAUACGUUCCCGGGCCUU